rnacentral:tRNA from 1 species
CGGGGCGUAGCGUAGCCUGGGUAGCGCGCCUGGUUCGGGUCCAGGAGGUCGUGAGUUCAAAUCUCACCGCCCCGACCA